CAUCCUCCAAGGCUAAAUACUCCUGACUGACCGAUAGUGAACCAGUACCGUGAGGGAAAGGCGAAAAGAACCCCGGCGAGGGGAGUGAAAAAGAACCUGAAACCGUGUACGUACAAGCAGUGGGAGCACAGGUUUACCUGUGUGACUGCGUACCUUUUGUAUAAUGGGUCAGCGACUUAUAUUCUGUAGCAAGGUUAACCGAAUAGGGGAGCCGGAGGGAAACCGAGUCUUAAUUGGGCGUUAAGUUGCAGGGUAUAGACCCGAAACCCGGUGAUCUAGCCAUGGGCAGGUUGAAGGUUGGGUAACACUAACUGGAGGACCGAACCGACUAAUGUUGAAAAAUUAGCGGAUGACCUGUGGCUGGGGGUGAAAGGCCAAUCAAACCGGGAGAUAGCUGGUUCUCCCCGAAAGCUAUUUAGGUAGCGCCUCGUGAAUUCAUCUCCGGGGGUAGAGCACUGUUUCGGCUAGGGGGCCAUCCCGGCUUACCAACCCGAUGCAAACUGCGAAUACCGGAGAAUGUUAUCACGGGAGACACACGGCGGGUGCUAACGUCCGUCGUGAAGAGGGAAACAACCCAGACCGCCAGCUAAGGUCCCAAAGUCAUGGUUAAGUGGGAAACGAUGUGGGAAGGCCCAGACAGCCAGGAUGUUGGCUUAGAAGCAGCCAUCAUUUAAAGAAAGCGUAAUAGCUCACUGGUCGAGUCGGCCUGCGCGGAAGAUGUAACGGGGCUAAACCAUGCACCGAAGCUGCGGCAGCGACACUCAGGUGUUGUUGGGUAGGGGAGCGUUCUGUAAGCCUGCGAAGGUGGCCUGUGAGGGUUGCUGGAGGUAUCAGAAGUGCGAAUGCUGACAUAAGUAACGAUAAAGCGGGUGAAAAGCCCGCUCGCCGGAAGACCAAGGGUUCCUGUCCAACGUUAAUCGGGGCAGG
rnacentral:rRNA from 4 species